AUGCUGACGUUUUCAACCUCAAAAAAGAAUGUCUAUGAUAGAAAAGCAUGGCAUACCUCAUAUACUUCUGAUUGCUUCAAUGUUUCACAUGAGAAAUCACAUAUUGGACCAGCAGUGAAUAUCAUGCAAACCAGCUCCUGCCUUACUUUCUUCCUAGCUCGGAAAAUAGUCUGCAAAAGGAUAAAAGCAUCUACCAUCUUGAGAAACUUGCGUCGUACAACCAGUCCUUUGAUAUGUGCUGAAAUUUUGACUUGA